AGUCGAACGGUAGAGGGGGCAACCCCUUGAGAGUGGCGAACGGGUGAGUAAUGUAUCGGAACGUGCCCAGUCGUGGGGGAUAACGUAGUGAAAAUUACGCUAAUACCGCAUACGAUCUAUGGAUGAAAGCGGGGGAUCGCAAGACCCCGCGCGAUUGGAGCGGCCGAUAUCAGAUUAGGUAGUUGGUGGGGUAAAGGCUCACCAAGCCAACGAUCUGUAGCUGGUCUGAGAGGACGACCAGCCACACUGGAACUGAGACACGGUCCAGACUCCUACGGGAGGCAGCAGUGGGGAAUUUUGGACAAUGGACGAAAGUCUGAUCCAGCCAUUCCGCGUGCAGGACGAAGGCCUUCGGGUUGUAAACUGCUUUUGUACGGAACGAAAAGGCUCUUCUUAAUACGGAGGGCUCAUGACGGUACCGUAAGAAUAAGCACCGGCUAAC
rnacentral:rRNA from 1 species